CAAAGUUUUGGGAUGCCAACAACACAGAUUGGCUCAAUUCUACAACAGAUACUUCCUACUCUGACUCAGCUACUUCUCAAUUUAAAACUUAUACCACCGCCAUAGCAAAAACCGAGACAAAAGAAACAAGCCAGGCCUAUUACCUAUCGCAAUUCAUGGCGGACAAGCUACUCACAUUUGAUAGAUCGGUAUAUGUGACGAACAAAGAGCAAAGCAGCACGGAAACCCACAGACCCGAGCAUGAGGAAGAAGGCAUAGCAUACACAGGCCAUAUACCCGAAGAAGAAGGAUGUUUGCAUGAAGCCGGACAUGUCUGAUCGGGCAUGAUAGUAGUACAAGCAAUAUCCGUAAAUGAAUAAACCAGUAGAACCACCACAAAGGAACGACCUCCACCACCACUCGUGAUCUUCUGCAGCAAGUUGAAAGUAGGUCAGCGCCACAGUGAUGAAGGCAGUGACGAUAAGGAGAAUGAUAAAGACGAUAAAGAGAAUGCUGUAAAUAGUGUAGAUCCUGUGGCCCCAGACACUGGCAAAUAUGUAGUAAAGUUCAAUAUAAAUGGCACUGAAGGGCAGAAAUCCCGCCAUUGCCAUCUGGGGAAUAGUGCUCCGGUACCACGGCAGCGGAGGAAUCUCUCUAGGAUACUUUGUGGUGCGGCAAGGAGCUUGGAACUCUGCCUUGCUGUUUUUACCAGCAAUUCCACCCAAAACGAGUAAAGGAGAAGUUACCAGUGUCCAUAUGAGAACAAUAACCAAAAUGGUUCCAAAAGGCAAUGCGGCAGUAGCACUAUAUGCAAUAGCAACGGUGUUCAGGAAACAGAAUGUCAAGAACAGAGGCCCGCAAAAUAAGCAUCCUGUUAACAGAAGAUUCCUCACCCAGUUUGUUCCUUCAAGCUGGCAAUAGAAGGACGUAGCAGUGUAUCCUGCUAUACCUGACGUGAGAGCAUAUAUGACAACCAGUGCAGUGAAUAAAGCUCCACGAUUGUAAGGAUAGAAAACACCAACAAGUGCAAGAAUGAAAAUAAAGAUGGUCAUUGUAAAGAGUUGGGUACCAGAACCAAGAGCAGCAGCCAA
rnacentral:misc_RNA from 1 species